CGCAUCUGUGCAUGCAGCAUAUCAAUAAGCGGAGGAAAAGAAACUAACAAGGAUUCUCCUAGUAACGGCGAGUGAAGCGGGAAGAGCUCAAAUUUGAAAUCUUAAAGGGUUUCCCUUUACGAAUUGUAGUUUAAAGAAGUGUUUUCUGUUGAGGUUUUGGUAAAAGUUCUUUGGAAUAGGACAUCAUAGAGGGUGAGAAUCCCGUAUUUGACCUUUACUUUCAACUUUGUGAUACACUUUCAAAGAGUCGGAUUGUUUGGGAAUGCAGUCCAAAAUGGGUGGUAAAUUUCAUCUAAAGCUAAAUAUUGGCGAGAGACCGAUAGCGAACAAGUACCGUGAGGGAAAGAUGAAAAGAACUAUUGAAAAGAGAGUUAAACAGUACGUGAAAUUGUCAAAAGGGAAGCGUUUGACACCAGUGUUGUUUUUCUGAAAAUCAAUUAAAGAACUGUUUAUGCUAAGCUGUUUAGACUUUAUCAGCUAAUCUGUUUAGCUUUGAGCUUUUCUUUAAUGCACUUUUCAGUUAACAAGUCAACAUCAAUUUCUUUUGCUGUAAAAAAGCUUGAGGAAGGUGGCUUGAGAUUCGUCUUAAGUGUUUAUAGCCUCUUGCCUAUGCAGUCGGAGAGAUUGAGGUCUGCAGCGUAGAUCCUUCGGGGCUAAAUGCAUUUGUGCUAAGUUAUAGCAUUUUAUAGACAGCUUGUUGACUAUGAUUUGUCUUGUAGCUUACUCGCUUAUGUUAUUUUACCUACGCUUAGGAUGUUGAACGCGCACAGAGUCUC
rnacentral:rRNA from 1 species